rnacentral:rRNA from 1 species
UACGUAGGGUGCGAGCGUUUAAUCGGAAUUACUGGGCGUAAAGUGUGCGCAGGCGGCCGAGCAAGUCGAGUGUGAAAGCCCCGAGCUUAACUUGGGAACUGCGCUCGAAACUACUUGGCUGGAGUGUGGCAGAGGAAGGUGGAAUUCCACGUGUAGCGGUGAAAUGCGUAGAGAUGUGGAGGAACACCGAUGGCGAAGGCAGCCUUCUGGGCCAACACUGACGCUCAUGCACGAAAGCGUGGGGAGCAAACAGG